rnacentral:tRNA from 1 species
GCUGAUGUGGCACAGUCGGUAGCGCAACGCCUUGGUAAGGCGUAGGUAGUCGGUUCUAGUCCUAUCAUCAGCUCCA